GCCUCGGGGCGCAGCAGUGGGGAAUAUUGCACAAUGGGGGAAACCCUGAUGCAGCGACGCCGCGUGAGUGAAGAAGUAUCUCGGUAUGUAAAGCUCUAUCAGCAGGGAAGAAAAUGACGGUACCUGACUAAGAAGCCCCGGCUAAAUACGUGCCAGCAGCCGCGGUAAUACGUAUGGUGCAAGCGUUAUCCGGAUUUACUGGGUGUAAAGGGAGCGCAGGCGGCACGGCAAGCCUGAUGUGAAAGCCCGCGGCCCAACCGCGGGACCGCAUUGGGAACUACCGGGCUGGAGUGCCGGAGAGGUAG
rnacentral:rRNA from 1 species